UACGUAGGGUGCAAGCGUUGUCCGGAAUUAUUGGGCGUAAAGAGCUCGUAGGCGGUUUGUUGCGUCGGCUGUGAAAUCCCGAGGCUCAACCUCGGGUCUGCAGUCGAUACGAGCAAACUAGAGUGUUGCAGGGGAGACUGGAAUUCCUGGUGUAGCGGUGAAAUGCGCAGAUAUCAGGAGGAACACCGGUGGCGAAGGCGAGUCCCUGGACGAUACCUGACACUGAGGCACGAAAGCUAGGGGAGCAAACAGG
rnacentral:rRNA from 1 species